GUUAGUAGAACUGGACGUAAAACCCAAAAGGAAAGGCCAUUCAGCAAGUGAAAAAGGCCGUCUCAUCUCAGCAAGUGCAAUUCAGAUACAGUAACCAGAAACCUAAAGAGUCCAGUUGGGAUCCAACCAAAUCCCAAAUAGCUGGUUACCACAUCGUCUACAGAAGAAGGCUUCCGAUAGUUUAUCACCUCACACCAGAGGUCAGUGGUUCGUCCCUUCGGGGACAUCCGAUAAAAUUGGAACGAUACAGAGAAGAUUAGCAUGGCCCCUGCGCAAGGAUGACACGCACAAAUCGAGAAAUGGUCCAAAUUUUUUUCUUAUUCUCCGAUUCACGGUCUGUUUCUCACGUUUUUGCUUCAGGUCACUUUCUCUUUCUCCACGUGUAUUGUCUCUUCCCCUUUUUUGUUUAUGGUUAUUUCCUGUGGGCGUAUAUGUAAAAGCUUCUUGUUUUAACAUCAUGGAUUGACUUCUCCGAUUCACGGUCUGUUUCUCACGUUUAAGCAACAUUUUUUUUCCCCUUCCCGUGUUUUGCUUCAGGUCACUUUCUCUUUCUCCCCGUGUAUUGUCUCUUCCCCUUUUUUGUUUAUGGUUAUUUCCUGUGGGCGUAUAUGUAAAAGCUUCUUGUUUUAACAUCAUGGAUUGACUUAUAUAUGGUAUAUGGAGUUCUGCUAAUUGUUCUGUAUGAAAUUUGGCUAGGAGAAGAUGGGGCAGUUGGCAAAGUUUUCAUCUUUAGUUUAAGGUGUCAACUUAAAUGUGCAGAUUUUGGCUUAUCAUUAUGUUUUUUUGGAUGUAAUUACUGACAAUGCUUUUGUAACUAGGGUAAAAUGAGUAUUGUAAACAGAAUGAAGGUGAUACUAGAUAAUUAUUUUUGCAAUUUGAUAUGGCUUUAUCGGAUUAAACUAAUGAAAGAGCAGUAUACAAUCGCUUUAUAGGUUUAGAAAGGAAACUAGAGAUCUAGACAGAAGAUGCUUCCACCUUUAGAUUUUUAGGAUUUAACCUUUUUAAAGCAUUUUUAUGCUAUGUUAAUUAUUUUUCUAGGAAAUAAAUUAGCAAUUACAUAUACAAAUGUUGGUAUUUUGGGAAGUUCAGAUUUAAUUUCAUAAUGGCUUCUAAGAGCAAUGUAUUUAGAGUUCUCUGGUAAUCUUCUCACAGUGCUCUGUUUUGGCAAGAGAAGGUUACAACAAUUUCCAUAUUAUCUUAGAUUUUGUUUGCAGCUUCCCUUUCCUGACAAAACUGAUAUUUGCUCUCUUAAUGCUGCUUGUUUAUUUUAGGGUUCUUGCAUGUUUCCAGUUCUAAAUAGGUAUAUCCAAAUAAAGGGCAACUUCAAAGUUUAGUGCAGUUGAUUGGGAAACAAGAAGUAUUAACAUUGUUAUUAUUCCUUUCUUAAGAUGUUUUAGAUGUAUCAACCUGAGAUCGAGCAAAUAGGAGCAGGGAAUAAAUGGACUGGUAAUCUUUGGUCCUAAUCUAUAUUCCAGCAUAUACUACUGCAGACACUUAGAUAAGAGUCCUUUUUUUUACACUUGGGCAUAUUAUGGACUAUAAGAUGUGUGAAAAUACUAGGUGUAGUGUUGCUAUUCAUUGUGUUACAGACUUACAUUUAUAUAACAGUAACAAAUAACAGAGGACAAAACGAAAGGAAGCAACUUUAUUCCUUGUGCAUGCUUGGGCAUCAGUGAUUCAAAUAUAAGGUGUUGCAACCAAGUACAAAUCAUUCUUCCUCCCAGCUGUUGCCCCAAAGGUCUCAGCCAUGUCAAGUUCAAUUCCAUCAGGGAGUUUCCAGUCAAAAUGAAAAAGCAUCUUGGCAAGUGGAAGUUCAACAUUUACAGUUCCAAAUAAUUUCCGUGGACAUAUCCUUCUGCCAGCUCCAAAUGUUAGGUCCAUAAGGAGGGAACGCAAGGCUGUGGCCAUUGUUGCCUAGAAUCUCUGAAGCAAGAAUUUUUGGCCUAGUAUAAAAGAUCUAACUCUUGGGUUUUCAUUACCUCUUUUGCUAACUCCUGGUGAUGAUACAACAACAGCAGAUACUUCACCAAGUUGCAGGUGCAUGAUUGGACCAUUUUUUUUUUCCAAGUUUCUUAAAUUAUGGUGAGGCAAUGAACUAGAUAACUGGUGCAAGUUCCCAAUAAGUGGAAGCUUUCUAGGGCCUGGAGGCAAUUUGGCCUAACUUUGGAUCUUUUCCAUAGCUUCACAGCUAUGGUAACAAAGAUAGGAAAGGCAAUAAGCAUAGGAAAAGUGAGGUGUUGAAGCUCCAAUACCAUAGGAGACUCAAGAUCAGUAUUGGAUGUGUUUACAGUCAAGUAUUAGCUUGUCUUUGUGUUGUAAUCUUAUUUAAGCAACGAAUGAGAUGAACCAUUGGUUUUUUAUUUUCUUUCUUCUUUCUUGACUGAAGACUUGGAACUUUUUGA